rnacentral:rRNA from 1 species
GUGGGGAAUAUUGGACAAUGGGCGAAAGCCUGAUCCAGCCAUGCCGCGUGUGUGAAGACGGUCUUCGGAUUGUAAAGCACUUUAAGUUGGGAGGAAGGGCAGUAAGUUAAUACCUUGCUGUUUUGACGUUACCGACAGAAUAAGCACCGGCUAACUUCGUGCCAGCAGCCGCGGUAAUACGAAGGGUGCAAGCGUUAAUCGGAAUUACUGGGCGUAAAGCGCGCGUAGGUGGUUUUGUAAGUUGGAGGUGAAAGCCCCGGGCUCAACCUGGGAACUGCCUCCAAAACUGCAUGACUAGAGUACGGUAGAGGGUAGUGGAAUUUCCUGUGUAGCGGUGAAAUGGGUAGGUAUAGGAAGGCACACCAGUGGCGAAGGCGACUACCUGGACUGAUACUGACACUGAGGUGCAAGAGCGUGGGGAGCAAACAGGAUUAGUACCCCUGGUAGUCC